CCUACGGGUGGCAGCAGUGAGGAAUAUUGGUCAAUGGACGAGAGUCUGAACCAGCCAAGUAGCGUGAAGGAUGACUGCCCUAUGGGUUGUAAACUUCUUUUAUAUGGGAAUAAAAUGUUCCACGUGUGGGAUUUUGUAUGUACCAUAUGAAUAAGGAUCGGCUAACUCCGUGCCAGCAGCCGCGGUAAUACGGAGGAUCCGAGCGUUAUCCGGAUUUAUUGGGGUUAAAGGGAGCGUAGGUGGAUUGUUAAGUCAGUUGUGAAAGUGUGCGGCUCAACCGUAAAAUUGCAGUUGAAACUGGGAGUCUUGAGUACAGGAGAGGUAGGCGGAAUGCGUGGUGUAGCGGUGAAAUGCGUAGAGAUCACGAAGAACUCCGAUUGCGAAGGCAGCUCACGGGACUGCAACUGACACUGAGGCUCGAAAGUGUGGGGAUCAAACAGGAUUAGAUACCCUGGUAGUC
rnacentral:rRNA from 1 species